UACGUAGGGGGCUAGCGUUGUCCGGAAUCAUUGGGCGUAAAGCGCGCGUAGGCGGCCCGGUAAGUCCGCUGUAAAAGUCAAAGGCUCAACCUUUGAAUGUCAGUGGAUACUGCCGGGCUAGAGUCCGGAAGAGGCGAGUGGAACUCCUGGUGUAGCGGUGAAAUGCGCAGAUAUCGGGAGGAACACCAGUAGCGAAGGCGGCUCGCUGGGCCACACCUGACGCUGAGACGCGAAAGCUAGGGGAGCGAACAGG
rnacentral:rRNA from 1 species